rnacentral:miRNA from 1 species
AGAAAGGCAACCUUUCUUCCUU